ACAAAUUGUCCGACUCGUAUGACGUCACGCGACGAAGAUGGCGCCCUUUUCCCGCCAAAAUCGCAGAAUUGAGAAUAUCUUUUGUUAACCUACAUCCCCCGGAGUCUAAAUAAGGAUCAUGAUUCAUUAUCGAACGUUCGUUCAGCAAGCUCCAGAACGUUGUGGAUAUGUACAAGUGUGAUUGUAUAUAUACGUGCAAGUUUUUAACACGUUGCUUACCGACCUUCGAACAUUCUGAAGGAGCAGAACGUCACACUCCGAUGAAUAUAAAAUAAGGCUGUAACAUGACGUGAGAUCUCACGGGAAGCGUGUAAACAUUAAUACGAAA